rnacentral:lncRNA from 1 species
AGCAGAUAAGGUUACAGGGGCUACGCUAGCGGAAAGGCACAUGAUUAAAGUGCUGGGCCAUAUGUGUCAGUCAGUCAGGUGAGAAAACAUGACACCUUGGGGUCUUGAAAAGUUCAAAGUUCAUUUCAAAGACAUCUUGAAUACCAUAGGAAAUUACAACACACAACAAAAGUCAAUCCGUGAUGAAAUCAUCUUAAGCAUAAGAUGAGCUCUUUUAAGGCCUGGAGAGAUGGCUGAGCAUUUAAAUGCACAUAUUCUCACAAAGGACUGGGUUCAAUUCCCAGCACCCAAUAGGGAGUCACAACUGUCCAUACUUCUAAUUCCAGGGGAUCUGAUGCCCUCUUCUGACCUUCAUGGACACCAGACACAGACAUGUAUGCAGACAAAACACACAAAAUAAAUUUUUUAAAAAUUUGAACUGGAAAAAUAUUUAAAUUAGCCCUUUUAACAUCAAUUAUUCUUUCUUUGGGUGUAAGUAUUUGAGAGGCUACUUGCAGUGCCAGAUAGCACUAUCUAAAACAAUGUUCUUCACUGGCUUAGAGAGCUGUUUCUAUAGUUACUAUCUCUAGGUGCUGUUACUGUCUUCUGAGGAGAAGCUGUUUUACCUACAGAUCCACUACUCCAACAUAAGGCAAACAAAACUCAUGAUGUUUCAUCUAUAUCCUCAUACAGUCCUCAUACAGUCCUUAUAAAAUAAAUUUGGGAAAUAGACUGGUUUCACUUGUUAGGAAGUUUUCAAGGAAGAAAGAGUGAAAAUAAAUAAUUUGUCACCAGGUUUGUCUCCUCAUUCAGAACUGACACCUGAAGUUUGGUUUCUCUGUGAUGGGCAAGUGCCCUGGCCAGUCUCCAAAUGGCUGCUCUGUAAGGUAUCAGACACACAGAGAGAAAUGUGUUGGCAACCACAGCAUGGAAAUCAAGAAGGAGGAAGUGACACACUCUGCCUCUCAAGUGAGAACUAACGAAAAGACAUCUGUAUCAGGGAGAAAGCAAAAGAUCUUGAGACAAGUAUUUAAGGAUGAGCAGGGACCCCUGAGGAGGCUGAGGGCACCUGAGAC